AACGUGCCAGCAGCCGCGGUAAUACGUAGGUGGCAAGCGUUGUCCGGAUUUACNUGGGCGUAAAGGGAGCGUAGGUGGAUAUUUAAGUGGGAUGUGAAAUACCCGGGCUUAACCUGGGUGCUGCAUUCCAAACUGGAUAUCUAGAGUGCAGGAGAGGAAAGGAGAAUUCCUAGUGUAGCGGUGAAAUGCGUAGAGAUUAGGAAGAAUACCAGUGGCGAAGGCGCCUUUCUGGACUGUAACUGACACUGAGGCUC
rnacentral:rRNA from 1 species